AUACGGAGGAUGCGAGCGUUAUCCGGAUUUAUUGGGUUUAAAGGGAGCGUAGGUGGGAUAUUAAGUCAGCUGUGAAAGUUUGGGGCUCAACCUUAAAAUUGCAGUUGAUACUGGUUUCCUUGAGUACGGUACAGGUGGGCGGAAUUCGUGGUGUAGCGGUGAAAUGCUUAGAUAUCACGAAGAACUCCGAUCGCGAAGGCAGCUCACCGGGCCGGAACUGACACUGAUGCUCGAAAGUGUGGGUAUCAAACAGGAUUAGAUACCCUGGUAGUCCGCACAGUAAACGAUGAAUACUCGCUGUUUGCGAUACACGGUAAGCGGCCAAGCGAAAGCGUUAAGUAUUCCACCUGGGGAGUACGCCGGCAACGGUGAAACUCAAAGGAAUUGACGGGGG
rnacentral:rRNA from 1 species